GGGUCUGUAGCUCAGGUGGUUAGAGCGCACCCCUGAUAAGGGUGAGGUCGGUGGUUCAAGUCCACUCAGGCCUACCA
rnacentral:tRNA from 1 species